GAUGAACGCUAGCUACAGGCUUAACACAUGCAAGUCGAGGGGAAACGACAUCGAAAGCUUGCUUUUGAUGGGCGUCGACCGGCGCACGGGUGAGUAACGCGUAUCCAACCUGCCCACCACUUGGGGAUAACCUUGCGAAAGUAAGACUAAUACCCAAUGAUAUCUCUAGAAGACAUCUGAAAGAGAUUAAAGAUUUAUCGGUGAUGGAUGGGGAUGCGUCUGAUUAGCUUGUUGGCGGGGUAACGGCCCACCAAGGCGACGAUCAGUAGGGGUUCUGAGAGGAAGGUCCCCCACAUUGGAACUGAGACACGGUCCAAACUCCUACGGGAGGCAGCAGUGAGGAAUAUUGGUCAAUGGGCGAGAGCCUGAACCAGCCAAGUAGCGUGCAGGAUGACGGCCCUAUGGGUUGUAAACUGCUUUUAUAAGGGAAUAAAGUGAGUCUCGUGAGACUUUUUGCAUGUACCUUAUGAAUAAGGACCGGCUAAUUCCGUGCCAGCAGCCGCGGUAAUACGGAAGGUCCGGGCGUUAUCCGGAUUUAUUGGGUUUAAAGGGAGCGUAGGCCGGAGAUUAAGCGUGUUGUGAAAUGUAGAUGCUCAACAUCUGAACUGCAGCGCGAACUGGUUUCCUUGAGUACGCACAAAGUGGGCGGAAUUCGUGGUGUAGCGGUGAAAUGCUUAGAUACCACGAAGAACUCCGAUUGCGAAGGCAGCUCACUGGAGCGCAACUGACGCUGAAGCUCGAAAGUGCGGGUAUCGAACAGGAUUAGAUACCCUGGUAGUCCGCACGGUAAACGAUGGAUGCCCGCUGUUGGUCUGAAUAGGUCAGCGGCCAAGCGAAAGCAUUAAGCAUCCCACCUGGGGAGUACGCCGGCAACGGUGA
rnacentral:rRNA from 1 species